GACGAACGCUGGCGGCGUGCUUAACACAUGCAAGUCGAGCGGUAAGGCCCUUUCGGGGGUACACGAGCGGCGAACGGGUGAGUAACACGUGGGUGACCUGCCCUUAGCUCUGGGAUAAGCCUGGGAAACUGGGUCUAAUACCGGAUAUGACUCCAUGACGCAUGUUGUGGGGUGGAAAGCCUUGUGCGGCUAGGGAUGGGCCCGCGGCCUAUCAGCUUGUUGGUGGGGUGAUGGCCUACCAAGGCGACGACGGGUGGCCGGCCUGAGAGGGCGACCGGCCACACUGGGACUGAGACACGGCCCAGACUCCUACGGGAGGCAGCAGUGGGGAAUCUUGCGCAAUGGGCGAAAGCCUGACGCAGCGACGCCGCGUGGGGAUGACGGCCU
rnacentral:rRNA from 1 species